GAUGAACGCUGACAGAAUGCUUAACACAUGCAAGUCAACUGUGGCGGACGGGUGAGUAACGCGUAAAGAACUUGCCUCACAGUUAGGGACAACAUUUGGAAACGACUGCUAAUACCUGAUACUGUGAGAGAGCUUUGCGUCCCAUGAGCUAGUUGGAGAGGUAUCGGCUCACCAAGGCGAGGAGGGGUAGCCGGCCUGAGAGGGUGAUCGGCCACAAGGGGACUGAGACACGGCACGGAAGUGUACGGGAGGCAGCAGUGGGGAAUAUUGGACAAUGGACCAAAGUCUGAUCAAGUAAUUCUGUGUGCAAGAUGAAGUUUUCGGAAUGUAAAGUGCUUUCAGUUGGGAAGCGGUACCAACAGAAGAAGCGACGGCUAAAUACGUGCCAGCAGCCGCGGUAAUUC
rnacentral:rRNA from 1 species